CUAAGUAUAAGCAAUUAUACGGCGAAACCCAGAAGUAAAAACAACCGGGAGCCUGCGGCUUAAUUUGACUCAACACGGGGAAACUCACCAGGUCCAGACACAAUGAGGAUUGACAGAUUGAGAGCUCUUUCUUGAUUUUGUGGGUGGUGGUGCAUGGCAGAUGGAACAAUGGGCAAUCCGCAGCCAAGUCCUACGUCCGGUCCCCCCCCUCCCCUGGGGUUGGGGGGCGCCUGGAUAUGGAUGCAGUUCAACGACUAAACGGUGAUGGGCUGGCGCAGGGAGGCGCCGGCGAUGGUUCAUUCAAAUUUCUUCCCUAUCAACUUUCGAUGUUUGGGUAGUGGCCAAACAUGGUUGCAACGGGGAACGGAGGGUUAGGGCUCGACCCCGGAGAAGGAGCCUGAGAAACGGCUACUACAUCCAAGGAAGGCAGCAGGCGCGCAAAUUACCCAAUCCCGAUCCGGGGAGGUAGUGACAAUAAAUACUGAUACAGGGCUCUUUUGGGUCUUGUAAUUGGAAUGAGUACAAUUUAAAUCCCUUAACGAGGAACAAUUGGAGGGCAAGUCUGGUGCCAGCAGCCGCGGUAAUUCCAGCUCCAAUAGCGUAUAUUAAAGUUGUUGUGGUUAAAAAGCUCGUAGUUGAACCUUGGGCCUGGCUGGCCGGUCCGCCUCACCGCGUGCACUGGUCCGGCCGGGCCUUUCCCUCUGUGGAACCCCAUGCCCUUCACUGGGUGUGGCGGGGAAACAGGACUUUUACUUUGAAAAAAUUAGAGUGCUCCAGGCAGGCCUAUGCUCGAAUACAUUAGCAUGGAAUAAUGAAAGUGUAACAACUCACCUGCCGAAUGUACUAGCCCUGAAAAUGGAUGGCGCUCAAGCGUCUCACCCAUACCUCGCCCUCAGGGUAGAAACGAAGUAAUGAUUAAUAGGGACAGUCGGGGGCAUCAGUAUUCAAUUGUCAGAGGUGAAAUUCUUGGAUUUAUUGAAGACUAACUACUGCGAAAGCAUUUGCCAAGGAUGUUUUCAUUAAUCAGGAACGAAAGUUAGGGGAUCGAAGACGAUCAGAUACCGUCGUAGUCUUAACCAUAAACUAUGCCGACUAGGGAUCGGACGAUGUUAUUUUUUGACUCGUUCGGCACCUUACGAGAAAUCAAAGUGCUUGGGCUCCAGGGGGAGGAUGGUCGCAAGGCUGAAACUUAAAGAAAUUGACGGAAGGGCACCACCAGGGGUAAACCUGACCUGUGAAGCCGCAGUCAACUCUGCUCCAGAAAGCCGCCCGAAAGGGUCGGUGGUAGCCUCCUCUGCGUAGUAAUUCAGUUAUCCUCGCACUUGGAGCGCGGCGCGGCCACUGCCCGUAAAACGCCCAACUUCUCAAGAGUUGACCUCGAAUCGGCGAUCUGUCCGCGGCGCAGGAAGCGCGCCGCGG
rnacentral:rRNA from 1 species